GAUGAACGCUGGCGGCGUGCCUAAUACAUGCAAGUCGAGCGAACCGACGAGGAGCUUGCUCCUCUGAUGUUAGCGGCGGACGGGUGAGUAACACGUGGUUAACCUACCUAUAAGACUGGGAUAACUUCGGGAAACCGGAGCUACUACCGGAUAAUAUUUCGAACCGCAUGGUUCCAUAGUGAAAGACGGUCUUGCUGUCACUUAUAGAUGGACCAGCGCCGCAUUAGCUAGUUGGUAAGGUAACGGCUUACCAAGGCAACGAUGCAUAGCCGACCUGAGAGGGUGGUCGGCCACACUGGAACUGAGACACGGUCCAGACUCCUACGGGAGGCAGCAGUAGGGAAUCUUCCGCAAGGGGCGAAUGCCUGACGGAGCAACGCCGCGUGAGUGAUGAAGGUCUUCGGAUCGGAAAACUCUGUUAUUAGGGAAGAACAAAAGUGUAAGUAACUGUGCACAUCUUGACGGUACCUAAUCAGAAAGCCACGGCUAACUACGUG
rnacentral:rRNA from 1 species